UGGGGAAUAUUGCACAAUGGGCGCAAGCCUGAUGCAGCCAUGCCGCGUGUAUGAAGAAGGCCUUCGGGUUGUAAAGUACUUUCAGCGGGGAGGAAGGUGUUGAGGUUAAUAACCUCAGCAAUUGACGUUACCCGCAGAAGAAGCACCGGCUAACUCCGUGCCAGCAGCCGCGGUAAUACGGAGGGUGCAAGCGUUAAUCGGAAUUACUGGGCGUAAAGCGCACGCAGGCGGUCUGUCAAGUCGGAUGUGAAAUCCCCGGGCUCAACCUGGGAACUGCAUUCGAAACUGGCAGGCUAGAGUCUUGUAGAGGGGGGUAGAAUUCCAGGUGUAGCGGUGAAAUGCGUAGAGAUCUGGAGGAAUACCGGUGGCGAAGGCGGCCCCCUGGACAAAGACUGACGCUCAGGUGCGAAAGCGUGGGGAGCGAACA
rnacentral:rRNA from 1 species